CUCUCCUUUUCAUCUCUCUUCUCUGUUCCACCCACUCCCUACCCUGGCUUCUACCUUCCCUUUGGAGAUGAGGGUAUUGCCAUCAUUCUCUCUCUCCUUAUGAGCUCACAGUCUGUAUGUUGCAUGGGCCCCAGAGUUACUAUUAAUGCUGUCUUGGGUUAUGGAAGAAGAAGGGGGAGAGGGGUCAUAGGAGAGAGACCUGGGAGGUUCUUUAGGGAUCAUUGGCUGCAUUGCCAUGAACUCAAGGUUAUAUGGCAAGUUUAUUUUGCUCUUUACCAGUGACCACCUUUGGUGAUCAGGUCCUAUUUUUCAAACCAGAUCUUCUGUCCCAUAUGUCCCUUGAGUUUCUCCAAGGUUAUGAUGGGAGACAGUGAGCCAAUAGGUUUGUGUUGUGCUUCCAGCCUAUUAAAAAGAAAGCACAGAAUUUUGCAAAACCAUCAAACUGACAGCUUUGCAAUUUUUGGAGAACUAAGGCUUGGUUUUAGAAGAUACUUUAUAGCAAUCCCACCAGGAUGAAACCUGCUUGUUAUUUAGAGAGAGAUGCUGAGAAAACAUGAACUCCAGUUAGUGACGAUAGCACGUUCAUAGCACUUACUCUGUGCCACACACUGUGCAAAGCACUUGUAAAUUAAUUCAUUGAAUUUCCACAAUAACAAAGGGGGAAGCUGAAGCAAAGAGCAACACUCACCAUUGUAGAGUUAGGCUGCCAUCAGAGGUGGAUUCUUAACCAUGCAUUUAAACUGUCUCCCUAUGGUCUCUGUCAUACCACGAAGCUGAGCCCCUAGGCCUUUUCAGGACUUAGGAUCUCCCACCAGGCACCUAUACAGAGGGGUGUGAACUCUCAAGUCACAAAAAUGGUUGUUGAUAUGUGCAUGAAGCCCUCACUCUGUCCAAACCCAUCUGCAGAAUCAGAGGGAAGGUUAGUUAAUAGCCUGGGUGAAGUAAGGUAUGGUCACUUUGACCUUAUCCUGAAUAGUCAGCUUUCAGUUGGGCUAACUACUGAGGAAUCAACAAAUGAGCAUCUCCCCAGUAUGAAUGAUACCCUC
rnacentral:lncRNA from 1 species